rnacentral:rRNA from 1 species
AUGCCCGCGGGCCUCGUUGGUGCGCUCCUCCCCGUCGCCAACUGCCCCAACCACGCCACCGGCCGCGCGAUAGCGAUGCCGACGAGGGCGACGGACCUGGCGCGUCGGUCACCCAAGAAGCGGUGCGCGAGGAGGUGGACGGCUUCCUCGGCAGUCUGCAUCCACCGCCUCCGGCGCCAGGAGCUCUACCGCCACGCCCUCAAGGAGCCAGAGGCGCAGCCACGCAAGGUCGAGCCAGCCACGGAGAUGCUCUUCCUCUGCAGCUACGACAACUGCGGCAAGACCUUCGUCGACAUGGCUGCCUUGAGGAAGCAUGCCCACGUGCACGGCGAGUGA